UACGGGGGGGCAAGCGUUGUUCGGAAUUACUGGGCGUAAAGGGCUCGUAGGCGGCCAACUAAGUCAGACGUGAAAUCCCCCGGCUUAACCUGGGAACUGCGUCUGAUACUGGAGGCUUGAGUAUGGGAGAGGGAUGUAGAAUUCCAGGUGUAGCGGUGAAAUGCGUAGAUAUCUGGAGGAAUACCGGUGGCGAAGGCGGCAUCCUGGACCAUUACUGACGCUUAAGCGCGAAAGCUAGGGGAGCAAACGGG
rnacentral:rRNA from 1 species